AUAGCUGGUUUCUCAAUAAAAGAAUUUUAGUCCAACCUAAAGCAACAAAUAUAUACACAAAUUAAUCCUCCGCUUUAGAGUAAUUCAAAUAAGGUACAGCCUAUUUGAUACAGGAUCCAACCUUAAUUAAUGGGUAACUCUCGAUUCACAUUUAUAAGUAGGCCUAAGAGCAGCCAUCUUUUUAAAAGCGUCAUAGCUUAACUAUGCUUAUCCUAAUUUCUUAACCCCUCGUGACCCCUUUAAUUGUACUGAGAACUUCUAUAAAAUUAUAGAACUUUUUAUGCUAAAACUAGUAACAAGAGGUAACCACCUCUCUAUAAUGUAAGUAUAAUCCAGCAAGAAUCCACCACUGGCAACUAACAGACCUAAACAAAAGUAGCAACCCACCUAGAAAACCCUAUUCCCAUAACUGUUAACCUAAUACUAGAGCAUUUCAAGAAAGAUUAAAAGAAAAAGAAGGAAUUCGGCAAAUAUUAGCCCCGCCUGUUUACCAAAAACAUCGCCUCUUGCCACCAUAAGAGGUCUAGCCUGCCCAGUGACUUCUGUUCAACGGCCGCGGUAUCCUAACCGUGCGAAGGUAGCGUAAUCACUUGUUUCCUAAAUAGAGACCAGUAUGAAAGGCAUCACGAGGGCUAAACUGUCUCCUUUUUCUAAUCAGUGAACCUAAUCUCCCCGUGAAGAAGCGAGGAUUUUUAUAUAAGACGAGAAGACCCUAUGGAGCUUAAAACAUCACACACCUGUCACCCCAUUUUUCAUACCCUGGUAUUUCCCCCCCGUGACAUGCUGAUUAUAUGUUUUUGGUUGGGGUGACCGCGGAGAAAAAUUUAUCCUCCACAAUGAAAGGGCUUUUCCCUGAACAGUAAGAUACAACUUUAUGUACCAGUAAACUGACAUCCAUUGACCCAAUAUAUUGAUUAACGAACCAAGUUACCCUAGGGAUAACAGCGCAAUCCACUUUGAGAGCCCCUAUCGACAAGUGGGCUUACGACCUCGAUGUUGGAUCGGGGUAUCCUAGUGGUGCAGCCGCUACUAAAGGUUCGUUUGUUCAACGAUUAAAACCCCACGUGAUCUGAGUUCAGACCGGAGCAAUCCAGGUCAGUUUCUAUCUAUAAAAGAGCUUUUUUUAGUACGAAAGGACCAAAAUAGCAUGGCCAAUAUUAAUAUAAGCCAUAGUUAAUUAUUUUUGAAUUUUUACCUCAAAAAAUUAUCAACCUAACACUUUACCUC
rnacentral:rRNA from 1 species